CACACACACACACACACACACACUUCUGGAGAGAGGGAGUACUAGUAAAGAUGAACCAGUCAUUUAUUCAUACAUAUUAAACUGAUUCAUCUUCCCAUUCAUCAAUCCCUUUAUAGUCAUGUGCCACAGAUAUAUACACACAUCUCCACGACAUUCAUUUUGUUCAUUAUGCUGGUGAUGAUUAUGCAAAUAUAAUGUAGACGUGAAAAAUUAGUGCACAAAUAUAAAAUACAAUAUUCCAAUAUAUCAGACACACACACACACACACACACACACACACACUGAGAUAAUGCAUUUUAUAGCUGGGCACUGAUUUGGCACACCUACAUUAUGUUUCAUAUUGGCAUAUUUAUCAAUAAUGAUCUGAAAAAUCAGAAUAAGAAUAAUUUGAAUGCAUUUGUGUACAUAAUGUACACAACGCACACACACUUCUUAGUGAAAAAAGAGGAAGUUCUUUCUUCAUUUACUGUACAGAAUAAAAGAAAGAGAAGGUCAGAUUAGAUUCUCAUAAUACAGAAUAGUCCCAUCUGGUUUUUAAAUCAAUAAAAGAUUUUCACUGGAGGGAACAGAGAGAGACACAGUUUGCUCUUUGUCAGGAGUAUUCAAAGAAAGCAAGGCCAAACCCUUUCUCCCUGGAAGCAGCACAUGCAAACAUUAAAGCCAAGCAAGACCAUUGUAGAAGAAGCUCAUUUUUAAAUCUUUACUCUCUGUACAUUAGGUUUUAAAAAAAACACCAUAGUGUUUUAAAUGGCUUUUCUCCAGUAUUUGACUCUUUCAGGCCUACUUGGGUGAGAAGUUGCAGGAAGGUAAGUGGGAUUAUUCUCCAGUGGUGAAAAAAAAAGGGUACAGUUCAAGUUUAUAUAUAUAUAAUGUCUUACCCAUUUAUUUGUGUAAAGAACCUUUUUUAAAAAAAAAGGCUAGGGAAAUUAGCUCAAAUUAAGGAAAGCAUAGUAGACAAAUAUUUAGCAAAGGGAAGUCAUGAAAAAGGGAGCAAUCCUGGGCUGUCUGUCCCAUUGAACUCAGAGGGACUUACUUCUGAGUAAAAAUUCAUUGACUUGUGUUCCUUGUUUCACUGAAAACACGGUGUGAUGGGACCCCCAAUAUAUUCAAAUGUAUGCAUGCUCAAAAGUAAAUCCCCACUGUGUGCAAUGGUGUUCGCUCCCAGAUAAGUGUGCACAGGAUUUUAGUUUUACUUGUAAUUCAUUCUUCCUGGAUCAUGUCUAGAUUUCUAUCUUCAGUAAAAGAGUGGCUAUGCAGCAUUCUGAACUUCUUUCUCACUCUUUCAGAAACACACAUCUAAAUAACAGACUUAUGAAAUGCUCCAGACAGCCUCAAAACAAUGAGACAAGCAACUUGGCAGAGAGCUUACAAAGAGAUCAAAGUCUGAAUGUUAAAUGGGGUGCAUUUUAUAAAAAAAAAAAAAAUUGAACCCAUACCUGAAUAAAUCCACGAUCCUGUUAUAAACCAUAGUUAAUUAUAAGGUUGCUACCAGGCUGUAAAAGAGUAAAACAAAACACGGUUUAAAGAAACAUGCAUGGAAUUAAUGCAUUGAAAAGGCACUCUUGAAAUACAAGCACAAGUGGAAAUUAGAGUCAUUGGCAUCCACAGACUGGGGGCUUUUGUUUAAAUUAUGUAACAUGGGUUUUGUGCUUGACUUUGGCAGUGGGAUUCUAAAAUUAAACCACUGAACCACACAAAAGCCCAGUCCCUCCUAACUAGUCUCAUUUCAAUCAGUGGGAGCUUGGCCAUACAUUUCCAUGAGAGCCCAAAGGGACUUCAAAGACCCAAUUGGGUUGGGAACUGAAAUGCUGUUGCAUAGUGCUUAAUUUUAUUAAUCUUUUUAAGCCCACUGCUUUUGAACAAAUGCCCAUUUAAAGCAGUUUUGCAUAAUUACAUGUUUCAGUCGUGUUUGAGUUGAUUCUUAAUUUAUUAUUAUUAUUAUUAUCAUCGUCUUGGGUUGCAUGAAAAUUUCUUGAUUCAUUUGCUGAAACUGAGUCAGGUCUCUCUCUUGAGCUCUUUUCUCUGAGACACUUUCAGGAUUCACUGCUUUGCUGCAAGAAGGUUUGGACACAGAGGACGGUGCCAGCUUCUAGAAUGGAAUAAACAGAGCACUAUGUGUGUUUGAAUGAUGGGAGGAACAUCAGAAAUGCAUGGGAUGAUGUUCACAAAAGAGGUUGGCCUCUAGACCAUGGGAUGAACCUUGGAGAGUUGUGGAACACUGAACCAUACCCCAAUUUCUAAAGUGUUUGUACAAGAGAAUUAGAAUGGAUUUUGCUUUGCAGAUCUAUAAUCUCUCUUCUCUUGUCAAAUCCUGCUUACUUGUCUACAUGAAAACCCACCUCUGGAAGCUGCCUUUGUGGAACCUCCUUGAAUCUCUCAGUAUUGUUCUACCUUAUGGACACAUUUUCAGAUCUGCAAUUCUGCUGGAAAAGGAAAAAGCCACCUGCUGCUUGAUUCAGGGGGAAAAAGAUAUUCUGUUGUUUCCAACCCCUUCUGCUGAAGGAGACACAACAGUGUUAUCGUGCCAUCUUGUGGUUUCAUCAAGAAGGGGCAUUUAACAGCA